GAUGAACGCUAGCGGCAGGCUUAAUACAUGCAAGUCGAGGGGUAGCAAGAUUGUAGCAAUACAAUUGUUGACGACCGGCAAACGGGUGCGGAACACGUACACAACCUUCCUACAAGUGGGGAAUAGCCCAGAGAAAUUUGGAUUAAUACCCCGUAACAUAGCGAUGUGGCAUCACAUUGCUAUUAUAGCUUCGGCGCUUGUUGAUGGGUGUGCGGCUGAUUAGAUAGUUGGCGGGGUAACGGCCCACCAAGUCUACGAUCAGUAGCUGAUGUGAGAGCAUGAUCAGCCACAAGGGAACUGGGACACGGGCCCGACUCCUACGGGAGGCAGCAGUAAGGAAUAUUGGACAAUGGACGCAAGUCUGAUCCAGCCAUGCCGCGUGAAGGAUUAAGGUCCUCUGGAUUGUAAACUUCUUUUAUAAGGGACGAAAAAAGGUCUUUCUAGAUCGUCUGACGGUACCUUAUGAAUAAGCACCGGCUAACUCCGUGCCAGCCGCCGCGGUAAGAC
rnacentral:rRNA from 1 species